GUGUUGUAUAAAGAAGAGGAGGUGAGUCCCUCCCCUGGCCAGGAUGGAGAAGGCCUCAGCCCACACGACACACAUAUGUAGUUAAGGCACCGCCACCUGCUCCAUGGCAUCUACCAUGGUUUUG